CACGUAGGGCGCAAGCGUUGUCCGGAAUUAUUGGGCGUAAAGAGCUCGUAGGCGGUCUGUUGCGUCCGCUGUGAAAACUCGGGGCUUAACCCCGAGCCUGCAGUGGAUACGGGCAGACUAGAGGUAGGUAGGGGAGAAUGGAAUUCCCGGUGUAGCGGUGAAAUGCGCAGAUAUCGGGAGGAACACCGGUGGCGAAGGCGGUUCCCUGGGCCUUACCUGACGCUGAGGAGCGAAAGCGUGGGGAGCGAACAGG
rnacentral:rRNA from 1 species